GAUGAACGCUGGCGGCGUGCCUAAUACAUGCAAGUCGAGCGAACAGAUGAGGAGCUUGCUCCUCUGACGUUAGCGGCGGACGGGUGAGUAACACGUGGAUAACCUACCUAUAAGACUGGGAUAACUUCGGGAAACCGGAGCUAAUACAGGAUAAUAUAUUGAACCGCAUGGUUCAAUAGUGAAAGACGGUUUUGCUGUCACUUAUAGAUGGAUCCGCGCCGCAUUAGCUAGUUGGUAAGGUAACGGCUUACCAAGGCAACGAUGCGUAGCCGACCUGAGAGGGUGAUCGGCCACACUGGAACUGAGACACGGUCCAGACUCCUACGGGAGGCAGCAGUAGGGAAUCUUCCGCAAUGGGCGAAAGCCUGACGGAGCAACGCCGCGUGAGUGAUGAAGGUCUUCGGAUCGUAAAACUCUGUUAUUAGGGAAGAACAAAUGUGUAAGUAACUAUGCACGUCUUGACGGUACCUAAUCAGAAAGCCACGGCUAACUACGUG
rnacentral:rRNA from 1 species